rnacentral:rRNA from 1 species
AUUGAACGCUGGCGGCAGGCCUAACACAUGCAAGUCGAGCGGAUGAAGGGAGCUUGCUUCUGGAUUCAGCGGCGGACGGGUGAGUAAUGCCUAGGAAUCUGCCUGGUAGUGGGGGAUAACGUCCGGAAACGGGCGCUAAUACCGCAUACGUCCUGAGGGAGAAAGUGGGGGAUCUUCGGACCUCACGCUAUCAGAUGAGCCUAGGUCGGAUUAGCUAGUUGGUGGGGUAAAGGCCUACCAAGGCGACGAUCCGUAACUGGUCUGAGAGGAUGAUCAGUCACACUGGAACUGAGACACGGUCCAGACUCCUACGGGAGGCAGCAGUGGGGAAUAUUGGACAAUGGGCGAAAGCCUGAUCCAGCCAUGCCGCGUGUGUGAAGAAGGUCUUCGGAUUGUAAAGCAAUUUAAGUUGGGAGGAAGGGCAGUAAGUUAAUACCUUGCUGUUUUGACGUUACCAACAGAAUAAGCACCGGCUAACUUCGUG